UACGGGGGGGGCAAGCGUUGUUCGGAAUUACUGGGCGUAAAGGGCGCGUAGGCGGCCUGCUAAGUCGGAUGUGAAAUCCCUCGGCUCAACCGAGGAACUGCAUCCGAUACUGGCGGGCUUGAAUCCGGGAGAGGGAUGUGGAAUUCCAGGUGUAGCGGUGAAAUGCGUAGAGAUGCGGAGGAACACCGAUGGCGAAGGCAGCCCCCUGGGCCGACAUUGACGCUCAGGCACGAAAGCGUGGGGAGCAAACAGG
rnacentral:rRNA from 1 species